rnacentral:rRNA from 1 species
AGUCGAGGGGUAUAUGUCUUCGGAUAUAGAGACCGGCGCACGGGUGCGUAACGCGUAUGCAAUCUGCCUUUCACAGAGGGAUAGCCCAGAGAAAUUUGGAUUAAUACCUCAUAGCAUUAUGGAAUGGCAUCAUUUUAUAAUUAAAGUCACAACGGUGAAAGAUGAGCAUGCGUCCCAUUAGCUAGUUGGUAAGGUAACGGCUUACCAAGGCGACGAUGGGUAGGGGUCCUGAGAGGGAGAUCCCCCACACUGGUACUGAGACACGGACCAGACUCCUACGGGAGGCAGCAGUGAGGAAUAUUGGUCAAUGGGCGCAAGCCUGAACCAGCCAUGCCGCGUGCAGGAUGACGGUCCUAUGGAUUGUAAACUGCUUUUGUACGAGAAGAAACACUCCUUCGUGAAGGAGCUUGACGGUAUCGUAAGAAUAAGGAUCGGCUAACUCCGUGCCAGCAGCCGCGGUAAUACGGAGGAUCCAAGCGUUAUCCGGAAUCAUUGGGUUUAAAGGGUCCGUAGGCGGUUUGGUAAGUCAGUGGUGAAAGCCCAUCGCUCAACGGUGGAACGGCCAUUGAUACUGCUAAACUUGAAUUAUUGGGAAGUAACUAGAAUAUGUAGUGUAGCGGUGAAAUGCUUAGAGAUUACAUGGAAUACCAAUUGCGAAGGCAGGUUACU